UCGAAGCCGACCAAUCCCAAGCGAGCUACGAUUGUUUAGAAAUUUUAGACGCUGGAGUUAGAAGUUAUCAUAACUUUGGUUAGCUAGUUUUCAUGUUAUUACGAAUAAACAGAAGUAACAUGUCAAACGAUAAGGUAGUGCACUGGAAAGAGCUUUUGAAAAGAAGAUUGGCAUCCUCCAUUAAUGCUUCCUGCAGAGGAUGAAGUUCUGCAGAAACUGCGAGAGGAGUCCAGAGCCAUCUUUCUGCAGAGGAAGAGCUUCUCAACAAAUGAGGAGUUACAGAUCAUGUGGUUUCUGCUCGACAAACACCAAGUGUCACCCAUGACAGGAGAGGAGGCAAUGAUAAGCUAUGACUGUUUUCUGAAGUUUGAAGACAAAGCAGGAGUAAAGUGCAAGUGAGUACUCUGCAUAUUAGUCAUUUUGGAGCCACAAAAUGUUGUGCUAAUCUUGAGCAGAAUUACCUCUGUGUACAUUCACAUUAGCCCAAAAGCAUGUUUUUAGCUGGUGUUAAAAGGCAACAUGAAUACCGUGAUGAUGAGACAUUGUGUAUUUGUAAGCUAGGGGUUUAUUCAACAUGAUGUAAAGGCUGUUGAGUAUCAUUUCAUUCUUAAACAGAAGAUGUAGUUCAUAGGCCUUUCGCUCUGCCACUCUGCUUCAAAAUAAUUAACUACAACUAAAGGGAAUUCAACAGCUUUUACUUCACGUUGCAGAGCGUUUAGAGCAGGCCUGGGCAAUUCCAGUCCUCGGGGGCCUGAUUGGUGUCACACUUUCCCCCCAUCCCUAGCAAACACAGCUAGGGCUGAGUCUCCAUGACAUGGCCGGACAGGGUUACCUCUGCGAGUCUGUAAGCACUCUCACUACUACUAUACUUUCAGACCAAAAGCUUGUGUUGGUGGCUCCUUACUGAAAUAGGGAUAUCCCUUCCCUCCUUACUUUCUCAUGAUUCCAAUUGAGGUUGCCCAUUUGCGCCUUUCAGAGUUGUGAAAGAUGAUAUGUACUAUGACCUUGAGGCAGGAACCACCCUCUUGUGAAGCAUCUCUGGUUACAGUAAAUGUUUUUCUUCACUGUGACAUGUUUUUCUCAGUGAGCCUUUUACCUUUUGGAUAACUUUCUGUAUUGCUGUCUUUUCCAGCAAAGAGACAAAUGUUAUGACUUUUGGGGUGUAAAUUGUCCAAGUAGCCCCAGAUUCGUUCACCUCCAUCACUUGGUUGCGUAGUUGCCAUUGUUAUCAACAUUUUACAGACACUGCAGCCAUGUUGAUGCCCAAAAGUAGAAUGGGAGAUAAUGAAUAUUUGCCUAGAUUACAUUAGUGAUUUAGAAAUAAGAUGAGAUAACAUUGCUAAAGUAGGAAAAAACUUUGUCACCCUCACCAUGUUGUUAAAUUUACUUUAGACAGAUGGCAAUGUUGUCAUUAACUAGCAAAGUUCCUCAAAAAUAGCUUGCAAUGCUAACGGUAGUGCGCUAAAAAUUUGGUGGUCUCCCCGCAAUCCUAGCUAGCUAGCUAACAUUAAACUGCAAAUAAAGUCAAUCUGGCGACAUCAAAAUGAUGACCAAAGGUUUUCCUAGUAAUAAUUUGCCUUCUUUUAGAAAUGUCAUUGUGUUUUCAAAGUUUAGUAAUGCAUUAGACCAAAUAUUCAUCAUCGCCCAUUGAGGAUGCAUUGAGUAGAAUGUUCAGUUGGCCAUCAGUCCUAAAACAAAUGUUCAAAAUGAUAUUGUGACAAUGUGCAACCCAUAAAUAGGUUGAACACCAGGCUGUUUGGAAUUUAGAUUGGAUUGAGUUGGUAUGUGUGUUGUCUUGUUAUGUGACAGGAAGUGGAGAACUAAAUUUAAAAAUUGAUCCCCACACUCCCUCAGCUGGAUGGCCUGGAGACGUCCUUCUAUUCCUUCUAUGUCUGCACCACUGUCCGCAAGUUCUUCUUCUUCCUGGAAUCUUUACGGACUGGUUAGUUAACGAUAACUAACCAGAAACACUAGUUAAAUGUGCAGACUUAUACAUGUAUAAGAGACACUGAGGUUUUGAAUUCCUAUCUGUCAGAAUCCGAUGAUUGAUCUUCAUGCCUACAACUUGUUUACCUGUGCCCACUCUUAAAAACAAACAUCUUGCUCCAUUUAUUUAUGUUAAUUUCCAGGGGAAAUUAAGAUUCAAGACAUCUUGGCCUGCAGUUUCUUUGGAUGUUCUACUUAAGCUGAGAGAUGAGGAGCUUUCCAAGGUCAAUACCUGAAUUUGGACAAGGACCACAACGGCAUGCUCAGUAAGGAGGAGCUGUCUCGCUACGGCACUGGCACUCUGACCAGCGUCUUUCUGGACUGCAUGUACCUGGAGUGCCUCACCUACGACGGAGAAAUUGGCUAUAAGACGUACGUGGACUUUGUUCUGGCUCUGGAGAACAGGAAGAAGCCUGCAGUGCUGCAGUACAUCUUCAAGCUGCUGGACAUGGGGAACAAGGGCUACCUCAAUGUCUUCGCUAUCAAUUACUUCUUCAGGGUGAGAUGGACACAUGCCACAUUGGGCCAGAGAUAAUAGAAGUCAAUGGAGACGGCAGACAGUGGGACCUUGCUAUCCUGCUCACUGUAUGAAAAGUGUUGUCGUCUAUUAUGUAAAACAUAAAAAAAUCCACCAGGCCAUUCAGGAGUUGAUGAAAAUCCAUGGGCAGGAGACGAUAUUCUUCCAGGAUGUCAAGGUAAAUAGACUUUGCCCCCUGUUACCAUAUUCACCAUGGAUGAAGUAACUGAAGUGUACUACUGGUUACUGUAAAAUCAGCUGGAAGUAUCCGGAAAUAAGUCCAGAAAUGUUGGGGAGGGAUUAGGUUGUGAUUGUCAAGGAUUUGUAUGGAGUUAACCAUAAGCCAUGGUGCUCAGUAGGUGUUCAGUGCUUCUGCUUUUGUUUCCCCAAGAUCUAAUCUGAGUUUGCUGAUACAAUAUUUAAUGCUAGCUAGGUUUCCCUCCAAUUGGUGACAGAUUUUCAUGCGAAUAUACAAAAAUGUGCAUAAAGAAAAUGUUUAUUUUCCUACCAGUGGUGUGUUUCCACCAAACAGACUUCAGUACAUGAGAUAGAGUACACAAAUUUUACUUUUUGUGUAAAUUUUCAUGUACUGAAUACAAAUCUAAAGUUCAAUGUGUUUCCAUCGCACUUUCAACUCUACCAAGAGUUUUGUUACAGAAAUUGUAGCAAAUGUGCCUAGCCAAAAGCUCGCAGACACAGUGUCGGUAGGCUGUGUGUGUCUGCAUUUUUAAUGCUGCGGGAGGAAGCACAUGAUCAUUCAGACAACUUUGGGAUGAGGAUAUUUUUUUGGUCCUGCAAAUUAUUUGGAAACUGUCUGCUUUGUAGGCAUUAUACUACCUAUUGUAUUAAAAGCACCUCUUUGCGGCAUUAUUCACACACAGAAUUUACCGCUUAAAUUUCAGUAGCCUACCUCUCCUCUCCUCUCCUAGUUGGGUGUGUGAGAUCAAGAGUGCCUGGUAUGUGUGAUCUAAAUAGAGUACCACAGUAUGAGUCAUAAUACCCAUAAAACCUAGCUGUCAAACAGGGAAAUGGUUCCAAUUGUUUUUCCAUCAUUCAUUUUCCCAUAGGGGAUUUUAGAAAUUCUUGAAAUAAGGGCUGUGUUUCAUGUCGUGACGUUUUGAUAACUGUAAAUCUCUCUAGGACAAGGUGACUUUUAUCAAUAUAUUCACCUGUAUUUACCCCCUCAACAAUGAAAUGCUAAUUAGCUGCUAAUGUGGCUAUCAUAAAGAACUACAAAUUGCAUGAUGAUCUGGAUGAGACUGCCGAAUAGAGGCAAAAGUAAGAAUCUCUGGAUUAACUAUCUAAUGCUAGCUUAAUGUAGUAAUGAAUAAAUUGUCAAAAUGUCUUUGAAAUGUACAAUUCUGUGAACUGUCUUGUGCAAGUUUAAAAUUGACACUACCUAUUAGCAAAGGUGCCAGCUUGAGAUAACAUACUGGAGCUUGCAGGGAUUUGUGGUCUUGCAUGAUGUCCACUUUGAUGCUAAUUAGCAUUUUCAAAUCUGAGAUUAGAGCCUAUUAUAUUGUAUUGAGAGAGUUACACGGUUAUCAAAACUUCACACCAGAGUUAGCCUACACAAAACACAGCCCUUAAUUUAAGUAUUUCUAAAAUACCCAAUGGGGAAAAAUGAAUGGUGGAAAAAUGAUUGGAAACAUUUCUCUGUUUGACCGCAAGGUUUUAUGGGUAUUAUGACACCUCCACUGUGGGGCUCUAUGAAAUAAGUAAAUUCACUUAAAUAUGAAUAGGCUAUAGUUUACUUCAGUGUCUGUAAAUUAAUAUUGAUAAUGGAAAGAAGUGGAGGGCGCUCAACUAACUUGAGUCGAGGUGCAAUCAAAAAAUUUGGUCGCUAUUGAAAAGGUCAACACAGUUAUUGGCUACCAUGGUGAGUGAGCAUUGCACCUUUUUUUAUUUUCAAUAAAUAUUGAUUACCCAUUUAA